rnacentral:rRNA from 1 species
CCUACGGGACGCAGCAGUGAGGGAUAUUGGUCAAUGGGGGAAACCCUGAACCAGCAACGCCGCGUGAGGGAAGACGGUUUUCGGAUUGUAAACCUCUGUCCUCUGUGAAGAAAAUGACGGUACCUGACUAAGAAGCCCCGGCUAACUACGUGCCAGCAGCCGCGGUAAUACGUAGGGGGCAAGCGUUAUCCGGAUUUAUUGGGCGUAAAGCGGGUGCAGGCGGUUCAAUGAGU